AAGAACGAAUUAUUCUUUAUGCAUUGACAACAAAAAAGGAAAAACUGAUGAUGUAGAUAAAACCCUAAACCCUAAAUUCGAUAUGUUAUGUGAUUGUUGUCACUCGUUCUGCUUUGGUGCUUCAUCUCCAAAACCCACCAAUUCGCUACCAGUUCUUCUCCCACUUCCUCAAACCAACCUUCCCUUCUGUCUUCAAACCUCGUCCCUUCUCUCUAAUCACUCCACGCCAAACACAUGCUACGCCCUUUGUUAAUGCUGUUGCAUCAGCUUCAUCAUCACAAGCUUCCAAUGGCAGAGACACUUUCUUUGUUAUUGGCCUCAACAGACCCUCUCUCGUUCAGGCUUCUUCAGUACCGUCUGUGAUGUCAGGGAAGGAUGUUGUUAUUGCCGCGGAGACUGGGAGUGGUAAGACAUACAGUUACCUAGUUCCUCUUAUUGAUAAGCUAAGGGAUGCCCAGGAACAUUCUCUACAUGCUAUGUCUGAUCAGGAAGCGACCCCGACACAAAGUUUUGCUCAUCCUUUGUCCGAAUGUGCAACUUUGUGAGCAGGUAGUUAGGAUGGACAGCACUCUACGUAGGGAUGAUGGUGAGGCGAUAGUCAGUGUGGCUGCCAUUUGUGGUAGGAAGGGAUGGCCAAUUCGGGAACCUGAUGUCAUUGGGACAACACCUGCUGCCCUUCUGAAUUAUCUUGACCUUGAUAGAACUCGCCGCAUGGAAUUUAUGCGUGGUGUUAAAUAUGUGGUAUGUCUAGGUAAUUUGAGUGCCACAUUUGUAGGCUUUUGUUAACAUAUAGGUAACUGAUGCCGCAUUUGCGGGCUUAACUUAAUACCUCUUUAAGUUUGCUUUUGAGAGUUUUGUGUUAACAAAUAAAAAUGUGUAACUCGCGACCCCUUAGUGUGUACAAGGGAUAUUCGUUGUCAAAGGACACUGAGGAAUAUCUUGCCUCGCAUGGACUAAAAAAUGCACUAUAUACAAUUAGAGCUGCGGAUUUGAAAGAGGAUGUGUUGGGCAUGCUUGUUCCUUGCCCAUUCCAGGGGGGAAUUUGAAUCGAUGAUAAAAUAUGCUCUCAUGAUGUAAAUAUCUUUCACAUUCAUAUUACUAGUGCAUUGGUGAUUGAUGGGAGAACCUCCUACCAAAGAGGGCAAAUCAAAUGUUGACGUAUCUAAAAAGAGACCUUUGGGAGUGCUUGGACAGGAUGAGUUGAGAUCAGUACAAUUUGGAACUACAACACCACUAUCAGGAAGGCAAAAUUCCAGGAAAGCAAUAGUUGAAGAUCCCUUGAGAAAGCAAGUCAAGUUAGAUCAUAAUGCUUUAACCGAAGCACCUUCAUAAGCAACUCGGACUUUUAUUCUUGAGUUUGAUGGUGUGUCGAACGGAAAUCCUGGAAAAUCUGGUGCUUGGGCUGUUCUGCGAGCUAUGGAUGGAAGUUUGGUAUGCAUUUGAUGUUUCUGUAUCUAGUCAUCAUUGCCAUACAACAAUAAUCUCUUGCUUGGAACUUCAAUUCUGAUGCUGGCACUCAAGCAAAUUUGGCUAUCAACCUUGCAGAUGGCCAAGUCCAGGAAGAGUGUAUAUAAUAUUGACUGAUGGCUGCUGCUGGGUGGGAUUUGUUGCUGGAACACGUCUGCAGUUUGAAGAAGUGUCUCAGCAGUUAUACAACUUAAGGCCUCAGCGUUUUGAAUUUCCAUAAUUUUUUGGCCGCAAUGGAAGAUUCCCAUUACGACUUAUCGACACUGCAAUCAUAUCAAGUUGAGUUCGUUAUUUUCAUUUUUGAGCAUACGGAAGAUCAGAAUAUCUUGCAGUCUAAAGAAAACAUGAUUCUUGUUCAAUAACGCUAAUAUUAUUACUUAGUUGAAAAUGUUGUUUCAUUAUUAAUUUUGUAUCUAUUCAGGCUCGAUUUACGUGCACGGUAGUCUUUCAAUUAUUGUAAGAAUAUUCUGUAAACUAAUGCUUUCAACUCCUGCUAUCCAGUGAAGUUGAUAUUGGGAGUAUUAUGUAUUGAUGUGGAUCAGUUUAGAUA